rnacentral:rRNA from 1 species
ACGUCGACCGGCGCACGGGUGAGUAACGCGUAUCCAACCUACCCAUUACUGUGGGAUAACCUGCCGAAAGGCAGACUAAUACCGCAUGGUCUUCGAUGACGGCAUCAGAUGUGAAGUAAAGAUUUAUCGGUCAUGGAUGGGGAUGCGUCUGAUUAGCUUGUUGGCGGGGUAACGGCCCACCAAGGCAACGAUCAGUAGGGGUUCUGAGAGGAAGGUCCCCCACACUGGAACUGAGACACGGCCCAGACUCC